GUUUUGUUGGGUAGUGGGGGAUGAGGUUAUAGAGAGAGGGGGGAAAAGACACAUUUUCAUAGUGGGGUAAUCUGUCGGGUCUGGAUAGGUAUAAACAGUAUAGUGGAUUAGGGACUGGCGAUUUUAUAAGUAUUGGGGUCUGGAUAGGUAUAAACAGUAUAGUGGUGGGGUCUGGAUAGGUAUAAACAGUAUAGUAGUGGAUCUGUAGGGUCUGGAUAGGUAUAAACAGUAUAGUAGUGUAUCUGUAGGGUCUGGAUAGGUAUAAACAGUAUAGUGGUGGAUCUGUAGGGUCUGGAUAGGUAUAAACAGUAUAGUAGGGGAUCUGUAGGGUCUGGAUAGGUAUUAACAGUAUAGUGGUGGGGUCUGGAUAGGUAUAAACAGUAUAGUAGUGGGGUCUGGAUAGGUAUAAACAGUAUAGUAGUGGGGUCUGGAUAGGUAUAAACAGUAUAGUAGUGGGGUCU
rnacentral:lncRNA from 1 species